GGGAUUGUGGCUCAGAGGUAGAGCAUUCGCCUAGCAUGUGCCAGGCCCUGAGUUCAAUCCUCAGCACCA
rnacentral:tRNA from 1 species